rfam:Camelus ferus unplaced genomic scaffold scaffold1979, whole genome shotgun sequence.
GAGGGUAUAGCUCAGUGGUAGAGUGUGUGCCUAGAAUGCAUGAGGUCCUGGGUUCAAUCUCCAGUACGUCUA